ensembl:ncRNA R01E6.12 ncRNA
AAGUAGAUGAAAGAAUUCAAAAAGCGUUUCCUAAAGCUUUCAGAAAUCAGACAACAUCAAACAUUUUUUAGUUGGUAAAUUAAGAAGAAUGAACAAUGAGGCAGACACAAAACCGCCGCGCGGACUGGCAAAGGAGGGAUUGGAAGCUCAAAUUUCGUUGCGUUGUCUUCAUUCAAAUCUCACCC